rnacentral:rRNA from 1 species
GCAUGUGCGCGAGUCAUUGGGACUCUGUUAAACCUAAAGGCGCAAUGAAAGUAAAGGUCCGCCUCGCGCGGACCGAGGGAGGAUGGGUCCGUCCCCGGACGGGCCCCGCACUCCCGGGGCGUCUCGUUCUCAUCGCGAGAAGAGGCGCACCCAGAGCGUACACGCUGGGACCCGAAAGAUGGUGAACUAUGCCUGGUCAGGACGAAGUCAGGGGAAACCCUGAUGGAGGUCCGUAGCGAUUCUGACGUGCAAAUCGAUCGUCGGAACUGGGUAUAGGGGCGAAAGACUAAUCGAA